CUCCAUGAUUCAGCGGCGGACGGGUGAGUAAUGCCUAGGAAUCUGCCUGGUAGUGGGGGACAACGUUUCGAAAGGAACGCUAAUACCGCAUACGUCCUACGGGAGAAAGCAGGGGACCUUCGGGCCUUGCGCUAUCAGAUGAGCCUAGGUCGGAUUAGCUAGUUGGUGGGGUAAAGGCCUACCAAGGCGACGAUCCGUAACUGGUCUGAGAGGAUGAUCAGUCACACUGGAACUGAGACACGGUCCAGACUCCUACGGGAGGCAGCAGUGGGGAAUAUUGGACAAUGGGCGAAAGCCUGAUCCAGCCAUGCCGCGUGUGUGAAGAAGGUCUUCGGAUUGUAAAGCACUUUAAGUUGGGAGGAAGGGCAGUAAGUUAAUACCUUGCUGUUUUGACGUUACCAACAGAAUAAGCACCGGCUAACUUCGUGCCAGCAGCCGCGGUAAUACGAAGGGUGCAAGCGUUAAUCGGAAUUACUGGGCGUAAAGCGCGCGUAGGUGGUUUGGUAAGAUGGAUGUGAAAUC
rnacentral:rRNA from 1 species